UACGGAGGGGGCUAGCGUUGUUCGGAAUUACUGGGCGUAAAGCGCACGUAGGCGGCUUUGUAAGUUAGAGGUGAAAGCCCGGGGCUCAACUCCGGAAUUGCCUUUAAGACUGCAUCGCUAGAAUUGUGGAGAGGUAAGUGGAAUUCCGAGUGUAGAGGUGAAAUUCGUAGAUAUUCGGAAGAACACCAGUGGCGAAGGCGACUUACUGGACACAUAUUGACGCUGAGGUGCGAAAGCGUGGGGAGCGAACGGG
rnacentral:rRNA from 1 species